rnacentral:rRNA from 2 species
UGGGGAGCAAACAGGAUUAGAUACCCUGGUAGUCCACGCCGUAAACGAUGUCGACUUGGAGGUUGUUCCCUUGAGGAGUGGCUUCCGGAGCUAACGCGUUAAGUCGACCGCCUGGGGAGUACGGCCGCAAGGUUAAAACUCAAAUGAAUUGACGGGGGCCCGCACAAGCGGUGGAGCAUGUGGUUUAAUUCGAUGCAACGCGAAGAACCUUACCUACUCUUGACAUCCAGAGAACUUAGCAGAGAUGCUUUGGUGCCUUCGGGAACUCUGAGACAGGUGCUGCAUGGCUGUCGUCAGCUCGUGUUGUGAAAUGUUGGGUUAAGUCCCGCAACGAGCGCAACCCUUAUCCUUUGUUGCCAGCGAUUCGGUCGGGAACUCAAAGGAGACUGCCGGUGAUAAACCGGAGGAAGGUGGGGAUGACGUCAAGUCAUCAUGGCCCUUACGAGUAGGGCUACACACGUGCUACAAUGGCGCAUACAAAGAGAAGCGACCUCGCGAGAGCAAGCGGACCUCACAAAGUGCGUCGUAGUCCGGAUCGGAGUCUGCAACUCGACUCCGUGAAGUCGGAAUCGCUAGUAAUCGUGGAUCAGAAUGCCACGGUGAAUACGUUCCCGGGCCUUGUACACACCGCCCGUCACACCAUGGGAGUGGGUUGCAAAAGAAGUAGGUAGCUUAACCUUCGGGAGGGCG